GGGCCCGCACAAGCGGUGGAGCAUGUGGUUUAAUUCGAUGCAACGCGAAGAACCUUACCAGGGUUUGACAUCCUGCGAAUUUUCUGGGAAACCGGAAAGUGCCUUCGGGAGCGCAGUGACAGGUGGUGCAUGGCUGUCGUCAGCUCGUGUCGUGAGAUGUUGGUUAAGUCCCAGCAACGAUGCGCAACCCACCGUUCUUUAGGUUGCCAGCAUUUUAGUUGGGCACUCUAGAGAGACCGCCGGUGAUAAACCGGAGGAAGGUGUGGAUGACGUCAAGUCAUCAUGCCCCUUACAUCCUGGGCUACACACGUACUACAAUGCUACGGACAAAGGGCAGCAAACUCGCGAGAGCUAG
rnacentral:rRNA from 1 species